rnacentral:rRNA from 1 species
AUGGCAACGAUGGUGGCUUCAGGCAGAGUUGGGCUGCUGCUGGGCUUUGGUAGUCGGUCUCAUCCGGCGUGUUCGAGGGGCUGCCGAGCCUCACUUGUCUUCCUGAAGUCGGAGCUGCAGAAGAGGUGCUUCCGCGGUGACGAUGACACGAGACGGAUGGUCGGUUCCGGCGCUGGCUCGGCGCAGGUCCAGCGCUUUCCCCCUGCAAUGCUCAUCGCCAGAGUCGGAGCUGCCUGGUCUUCGGCGCGUGCGGUGGACUGUUUGGCGCUGUCCGGCGCAAGCCUCGACGCUCGUUUAUGGUGA